GUGAAGCCUCCCCCCAGGGAUGCAGGACGGAGAGGAGGGACCAGGGCGCAGGGGCGAAGCCUCCCCCCAGGGAUGCAGGACGGAGAGGAGGGACCAGGGCGCAGGGGUGAAGCCUCCCCACAUGGAUGCAGGACGGAGAGGAGGGACCAGGACGCAGGGGCGGCGCGGCUGGCUGCAUCAACACACAGGGUCUGAAAUUGAGGAGGCUGGGAUCCUGCGGCCUGCAGGUCAUGCUGCUGGUAAGCUGGGAGGCCCCUGUUCCAUUUUAGUUUAACCCCCGUAUCUGCGACUUCCCACUGCCUGACACUGCCCCAGUGUGCACGCCCUUCCCCGGCCUUUCUGCUUUGUCAGAAGGAGGUUCAGCAGACAAGCGUGUGUCGAUGGGAGUUUGAGUGGUGAGAUUUCAUAACUGUGAGGGGCGUUCUGCAUCCACUCCCUGCCAUAGCCCUGUGACUUGCUCUGACCCACAUGACAGACUUCCCCCAGCAGAUAUUAGCAGACAGGCCACAGCUGAGGCUUGAAGUGUGCUUGUGCAGUCCUGCUGACUUCCUUGCAUUUCAGCCGCAGCUGUGCAGGAGCCUGCCCCUCAUGACCCAUGAGUCCCAGAAGGAUGAGACUCCAGCCCACCCGUGCCCAUCCUGAAGCACACGGCCAGUUCAGCAGAGCCCAGACUACCAUACUAGACCCAUACUAGACUGACCAACCUCAGACAACACACAGGGAUAAAGACAAAGACAAAUGAGCAUUGUAUAAUUAUAUAUUCACACUUUUUUUUUUAAUUCUUUUUUUUUGAGACAGAGCCUCACUCUGUCCCCCAGACUGGAGUGCAGUGGCAUGAUCUCGGCUCACUGCAAUCUCCACCUCCCAGGUUCAAGUGAUUCUCAUGCCUUAGCCUCCCAAGUAGCUGGGAUUACAGGCACCUGUCACCAUGCCUGGCUAAUUUUUUUGUAUUUUUAGUAGAGACAGGGUUUCACCAUGUUGGCCAGACUGGUCUCGAACUACUGACCUCAGGUGAUCCAUCCACCUUGGCCUCCCAAAGUGCUGGGAUUACAGGCAUGAGCCACCACACCCAGCCCAUAUUGUCUUUCUUGAGUAGCUUUGUUGUUUGCUUGACUCAAUUGUCCAAUUGGCAGCUUAUGAUCAUGUCAGUUAUUUCUGUACAUUGAUUCCAAAAAAAAAAAAGCUGAAAACAUUCACCUGGAUCAUUUAAAAUAUUUCUGGUGUGGCAAUGAUGGGCAUGAUUUAUGAGUUGGUCAGUAUGCUUCUAAAAUAAAUGUCCAACCAAGAUAUUUUUGACAAAAAUGCAGGCAAGCCUUUUCAGACAUAAGGAGGAGAGUGGGGGAUGGUUUGGGGAAGGAGGCAUCUUUCACUAGAAGCAGCCACAUGGCCUAGGUAAGAGAAAGAUUUCUGGUUUGGAUUUGCAAUCUUAAUAUUUUGCAAUAAGAACCACCUGCACCGGCUCCAUGCCUCCCCACUCUCUUUCCCUUCCUAUCUUUUCAAGCUCUUUCAGACUUCUUGGACACUUCAUUCUCUCCUACCUACUUCAAAUCCCAGUUGAAGCUCCACCUCCGCUAGAGCUUUCCCUGACAGCAGCCCUGUGCUAAUGCCCUUCACAGCACUGUCUUUACUGCACAAUCGUCAUGGCCAAUGCUAAGACAGUUUUACAAAGAUCACUUUUUUUCUGAAUAGAAAGAAAAUUGUGUGUGGGGUUGGGGUGGGCUGGGGGAACUUACCAGGACCAGGAGGCAGUAACGAAUCCUGGAGGAAGUGUGUCCCGUUAAGAUGCUACCACAACAGUCCAAGGAAAACACGAGGGCCUAAGCGAGGCAGGGAUGCCAGUGCGGGGGAGGGGGACGCAGGAUGUUGUGGGGGGCGUGGGGUGUGG
rnacentral:lncRNA from 1 species